UACAGAGGGUGCGAGCGUUGUUCGGAAUUACUGGGCGUAAAGCGCGCGCAGGCGGCUUCUUAAGUCCAUCGGUGAAAUGCCGGGGCUCAACCCCGAGUGUGCCGAGGAUACUGGGAGGCUGGAGACGAGUAGAGGCAAGCGGAAUUCCGGGUGUAGCGGUGGAAUGCGUAGAGAUCCGGAAGAACACCGGAGGCGAAGGCGGCUUGCUGGGCUUGGUCUGGACGCUGAGGCGGCGAAAGCGUGGGAGCGAACAGGAUGAGAUACCGUGUA
rnacentral:rRNA from 1 species